rnacentral:rRNA from 1 species
CCUACGGGAGGCAGCAGUGAGGAAUAUUGGUCAAUGGACGAGAGUCUGAACCAGCCAAGUAGCGUGAAGGAUGACUGCCCUAUGGGUUGUAAACUUCUUUUAUAAAGGAAUAAAACGAGGCACGUGUGCCUUUUUGCAUGUACCUUAUGAAUAAGGAUCGGCUAACUCCGUGCCAGCAGCCGCGGUAAUACGGAGGAUCCGAGCGUUAUCCGGAUUUAUUGGGUUUAAAGGGAGCGUAGGUGGGUUGUUAAGUCAGUUGUGAAAGUUUGCGGCUCAACCGUAAAAUUGCAAUUGAUACUGGCAGUCUUGAGUGCAGUUGAGGUAGGCGGAAUUCGUGGUGUAGCGGUGAAAUGCUUAGAUAUCACGAAGAACCCCGAUUGCGAAGGCAGCUUACUAAACUGUGACUGACAUUGAUGCUCGAAAGUGUGGGUAUCGAACAGGAUUAGAUACCCUGGUAGUC